rnacentral:rRNA from 1 species
AUUGAACGCUGGCGGCAGGCUUAACACAUGCAAGUCGAGCGGGGGAAGGUAGCUUGCUACUGGACCUAGCGGCGGACGGGUGAGUAAUGCUUAGGAAUCUGCCUAUUAGUGGGGGACAACAUCUCGAAAGGGAUGCUAAUACCGCAUACGUCCUACGGGAGAAAGCAGGGGAUCUUCGGACCUUGCGCUAAUAGAUGAGCCUAAGUCGGAUUAGCUAGUUGGUGGGGUAAAGGCCUACCAAGGCGACGAUCUGUAGCGGGUCUGAGAGGAGGAUCCGCCACACUGGGACUGAGACACGGCCCAGACUCCUACGGGAGGCAGCAGUGGGGAAUAUUGGACAAUGGGGGGAACCCUGAUCCAGCCAUGCCGCGUGUGCGAAGAAGGCCUUAUGGUUGUAAAGCACUUUAAGCGAGGAGGAGGCUACUUUAGUUAAUACCUAGAGAUAGUGGACGUUACUCGCAGAAUAAGCACCGGCUAACUCUGUGCCAGCCGCCGCCGUAA